rnacentral:rRNA from 1 species
UACGAAGGGGGCUAGCGUUGCUCGGAAUCACUGGGCGUAAAGCGCACGUAGGCGGAUUCUUAAGUCGGUGGUGAAAGCCUGGAGCUCAACUCCAGAACUGCCUUCGAUACUGAGAGUCUUGAGUCCGGGAGAGGUGAGUGGAACUGCGAGUGUAGAGGUGAAAUUCGUAGAUAUUCGCAAGAACACCAGUGGCGAAGGCGGCGCACUGGCCCGGUACUGACGCUGAGGUGCGAAAGCGUGGGGAGCAAACAGG